CCGGCGACGGGUGAGUAACAACUACCCAACCUGCCGUCUACUUUCGGACGUCCUUCUAGGAAGAAGAUUAAUCCAGGAUGGCAUCAUGAGUUCACAUGUCCGCAUGAUUAAAGGUAUUUUCCGGUAGACGAUGGGGAUGCGUUCCAUUAGAUAGUAGGCGGGGUAACGGCCCACCUAGUCAACGAUGGAUAGGGGUUCUGAGAGGAAGGUCCCCCACAUUGGAACUGAGACACGGUCCAA
rnacentral:rRNA from 1 species